AUUGAACGCUGGCGGCAGGCCUAACACAUGCAAGUCGAGCGAGCGGCGGACGGGUGAGUAAUGUAUGGGGACUGCCCGAUAGAGGGGGAUAACUACUGGAAACGGUAGCUAAUACCGCAUACUAUCGGAUAACCCAUAUGGGAUUCGCUAGUAGGUGAGGUAAUGGCUCACCUAGGCUACGAUGCCUAGCUGGUCUGAGAGGCUGAUCAGCCACACUGGGACUGAGACACGGCCCAGACUCCUACGGAGGCAGCAGUAGGGAAUAUUGCGCAAUGGGCGAAAGCCUGAUGCAGCAAUGCCGCGUGUAUGAAGAAGGCCCUAGGGUUGUAAAGUACUUUCAGUCGGGAGGCGUUACCGAAAGAGAAAGCACCGGCUAACUCCGUGCCAGCAGCCGCGGUAAUUC
rnacentral:rRNA from 1 species